GUAGGUGGCAAGCGUUGUCCGGAAUUAUUGGGCGUAAAGCGCGCGCAGGCGGUUCUUUAAGUCUGAUGUGAAAGCCCACGGGCUCAACCGUGGAGGGUCAUUGGAAACUGGAGAACUUGAGUACAGAAGAGGAAAGCGGAAUUCCACGUGUAGCGGUGAAAUGCGUAGAGAUGUGGAGGAACACCAGUGGCGAAGGCGGCUUUCUGGUCUGUAACUGACGCUGAGGCGCGAAAGCGUGGGGAGCAAACAGGAUUAGAUACCCUGGUAGUCCACGCCGUAAACGAUGAGUGCUAAGUGUUAGGGGGUUUCCGCCCCUUAGUGCUGCAGCCAACGCAUUAAGCACUCCGCCUGGGGAGUACGGCCGCAAAGGCUG
rnacentral:rRNA from 1 species